rnacentral:lncRNA from 1 species
UGACCAUAACUACUUCAUUUAUUACACUUUUGAUCCUCUAACUAACUAUUGAACCUUCUGGAAUAACAAUUGAUGUGGAUGCCUCUAUGUUUGCAUGUGUGAACCGGAUUGGGGUCUAUCAGCUCCCAAGUACCCUUUUUCUCCAAAGCUUUCAUUUCAUCUUCAAUAACUUCGUUUCAUUCCGACUUUCCAAUGGCAAUACGGAUAUUCUGUGGAAUUUUAAUAUCAGUCAGAUUAGUAGUAAAUGCCUUGAAUUUCAGAGAUAGGCCCG